rnacentral:rRNA from 1 species
GACAGAGGGUGCAAACGUUGUUCGGAAUUACUGGGCGUAAAGCGAGUGUAGGCGGUUUGGAAAGUCGGAUGUGAAAGCCCCGGGCUCAACCCGGGAAGUGCACUCGAUACUCCCAAGCUAGAGUAUCGGAGAGGUUGGCGGAAUUCUCGGUGUAGAGGUGAAAUUCGUAGAUAUCGAGAGGAACACCGGUGGCGAAGGCGGCCAUCUGGACGGCUAUUGACGCUGAGACGCGAAAGCAUGGGGAGCAAACAGG